rnacentral:rRNA from 1 species
GGGGUCGGGGGCAAGCGUUGUUCGGAAUUACUGGGCGUGAAGGGCUCGUAGGCGGCCAACUAAGUCGGACGUGAAAUCCCCAGGCUCAACCUGGGAACUGCGUCUGAUACUGGAUGGCUUGAAUCCGGGAGAGGGUAGUGGAAUUCCCGGUGUAGUGGUGAAAUGCGCAGAUAUCAGGAAGAACACCUAUGGCGAAGGCAGCACUCUGGGACGGUACUGACGCUGAGACGCGAAAGCGUGGGGAGCGAACAGG